GGCGGAAUGGCCGAGCGGUCUAAGGCGCCAGACUAAGGAAAGCGGAAUUGUGUUCAAUCUGUACGACCAACUCGGUUUCCGAGUGUGUUAUCUGGUCUUUCGGGGCAUGGGUUCGAAUCCCAUUUCCGUCA
rnacentral:tRNA from 1 species